rfam:Hordeum vulgare subsp. vulgare, WGS project CAJW01000000 data, contig: morex_contig_119851
UUUAUACUCCCUCCGUCCGGAAAUACUUGUCCUAAAAAUGAAUAAAAUGGAUGCAUCUAUAACUAAAAUAAGUCUAGAUACAUGCAUUUCUAGGACAAGUAUUUCCGGACGGAGCUAAAUAACUU